GUGGGGAAUAUUGGGCAAUGGGCGCAAGCCUGACCCAGCAACGCCGCGUGAGGGAAGAAGGCUUUCGGGUUGUAAACCUCUGUCCUUGGUGACGAAACAAAUGACGGUAGCCAAGGAGGAAGCCCCGGCUAACUACGUGCCAGCAGCCGCGGUAAUACGUAGGGGGCGAGCGUUGUCCGGAAUUACUGGGCGUAAAGGGUGCGUAGGUGGCCUUUUAAGUUGGAUGUGAAAUACCCGGGCUUAACUUGGGGGGUGCAUCCAAAACUGGGAGGCUAGAGUGCAGGAGAUGAAAGCGGAAUGCCUAGUGUAGCGGUGAAAUGCGUAGAUAUUAGGAGGAACACCAGUGGCGAAGGCGGCUUUCUGGACUGUAACUGACACUGAGGCACGAAAGCGUGGGGAGCAAACAGGAUUAGAAACCCCAGUAGUCC
rnacentral:rRNA from 1 species